rnacentral:rRNA from 1 species
UACGGGGGGAGCAAGCGUUGUUCGGAUUUACUGGGCGUAAAGGGCGCGUAGGCGGCCAGCACAAGUCAGUUGUGAAAUCUCCGAGCUUAACUCGGAAAGGUCAACUGAUACUGUGCGGCUAGAGUGCGGAAGGGGCAACUGGAAUUCUUGGUGUAGCGGUGAAAUGCGUAGAUAUCAAGAGGAACACCAGUGGCGAAAGCGAACUUCUGGGUUGUUACUGACGCUGAGGUACGAAAGCGUGGGGAGCAAACGGG